rnacentral:rRNA from 1 species
GACGAACGCUGGCGGCGUGCUUAACACAUGCAAGUCGAACGGAAAGGCCCUGCUUGCAGGGUACUCGAGUGGCGAACGGGUGAGUAACACGUGGGUGAUCUGCCCUGCACUUCGGGAUAAGCCUGGGAAACUGGGUCUAAUACCGGAUAGGAGCCAUUUUUAGUGUGAUGGUUGGAAAGUUUUUUCGGUGUAGGAUGAGCUCGCGGCCUAUCAGCUUGUUGGUGGGGUAAUGGCCUACCAAGGCGGCGACGGGUAGCCGGCCUGAGAGGGUGGACGGCCACAUUGGGACUGAGAUACGGCCCAGACUCCUACGGGAGGCAGCAGGGGGGAAGAUUGCACAAUGGGCGCAAGCCUGAUGCAGCGACGCCGCGUGGGGGAUGACGGCCUUCGGGUUGUAAACUCCUUUCGCUAGGGACGAAGCUUUUUGCGACGGUACCUAGAGAAGAAGCACCGGCUAACUACGUG